CGAAAAGCUGGAGAAGAUAAGGAAUAUUAAAAUUGUAAACAAUUUUAAAAGCAAUUAGAAUUUAAGGUAGUAAACUAGUUUUUAGAAAUCUCGUUUUAACUUGAUGAAGCUAAUGUUGGUCUCAAUUGGCUAUAAAGGCUUUGUAAAUUGUCCCAUACAAUACAGUUUUCCUAAGGAAUCUUAACAAACCAAAACUCUUUCUCAGCAAAAGCAACAUGAAAUCCUUCUACGCUUCUAUUGUUAUAGUCAUCAUGGGUCUCUUGGCAAUUACUUCUGCCGAUCCUGAACCUCAAUGGAAUGCAGACACAAUUUCUAAAUUGAUUAAAGCCUUCCAGGGUUCAGAGAACUAAAACACCUAUGCAAUAUGCCAUGAAAAAUCAAAUAAAAUGCAAAAUAUUGAA